rnacentral:lncRNA from 1 species
UGAAGAAAGGACACGUCUCCGGCAAAUGUUGCCUCUCUAGUUUAAAGUUUCAUCUGCUGUAAGGCUUGUGUGCACAUGUACUUAUGUUGUGUGUCUUUACACGUGCUUCUGUUGUGUGUGUGUGUGUGUGUGUGUGUGUGUGUGUGUGUGUGUGUGUGUGACGGACGGGUAUCAGCAUGGAUUAGUGAGUAAAGGUAAGCGUGUGUCUCUCCCUGUCUAGGCGGAUUUCCAUCCCUCUCCUCUUCUCCGGUCACACACCGACCUCGUUUGAACCGCUGCCGUCGUCUCAUCUCAUCCCGUCUCCUCCUCCGAACCUCCCGCCGCUGUCUCAUGGCGCCGUAACACUUUGCAUUGAGAGUGUGUUUGUGAUUGGUUGGUUCUUUUUUUUGUCUCGGGCCGCCGUGCGAUGCCAUUACUCCCUCAGGACGCCGAGCGAUUCGAUGGGCUAUCUCUACUCUACUGGAUGAUCAUGGGCCCGCACGGCAUCAACCGAGCCGUACAGAGGCUGGAGUUCAGCGACUGCAAGAAGGGACUCGGUGAGCAUCUUCCUCCUGACCUGUCUGACCUCUGAAUCUGUUUAUGUGGGCUCUUUACACAGCUGCUGCUCAUGACCUAAAGACAGAAUGUCACAAAAGUAUCGACAGAUCACUAACCUGUGUGUGUGUCUGUGUGUGUGUGUGUGUCUGUGUGUGUGUGUGUGUGUGUGCACAGGUGUGAAGAUCAUCGGAGGUUACCGAGAGUUCACAGGAGAAGAGUUUGGCAUCUACAUCAAGCGGGUGGUCGGUGGUGGGCUGGCAGCUCAGGAUGGUCGGCUUAAGUCAGGUGACCUCAUUUUGGAUGUCAAUAACAUCAGUCUGAUAGGAGUGACUAAUGAGAGGGCGGUGGAGAUCUUGAGGACGGCCUCGCUGUCCAAUCACAUGGCCCUGCUGAUCGCCAGAGACGAUGAAUCCAGGAGGGAGUUUGCUGACCUGAUGGAAAAGUAUGGCUCCAAUCAUAUCACCACAUCAGGACGGAUCUCUCCCUCUCAGCUCACCACAGGUACGACACCCACAAAUAGUUUAAUAUCCUGACUGUUCCUGACAUUUAACGUUUUCAUGACAAAUGAUUGAAAUUUGCUUUUUCACAUGUGAAACAAAUGCUU